rfam:Firmicutes bacterium CAG:345 genomic scaffold, scf24
UUAGGAGUAAUUCUAUGGAUGAAGGAAGAGGUGUAGCAAAAUCCUUGAGCCUACGAAUAGAAACUUGAUGAGGCUAAAUGGUAUGUGGAUAAGGUUGCUAAACAAACUGAAGUCCUAAUGGUAAACGUAAAACCAAGACAGUAAAUCAAGAGGUUGUGGGAUGAAAGAUUAAUGA